rnacentral:lncRNA from 1 species
UGGGCAGGUGUCUGUCAGUCAGGUUUGUCCUGAUCGGCUCCAUUCCCGCCCGGGCGGCGGCACAGGCCGUGUGCGUGGGCAGGAGCGCCGGGAUACGCCGUGGGGAUGCAGCACGGAGCGUGGGGAUGCAGCAUGGAGUGUGGGGAUGCAGCACGGAGCCGGAGCCAGCGGAGACAGCUGGUGGAGAAUCCCCCCACCUCCUUCCUCAUCGCCCACGGAGCAGCGUGCCCAGCCCAGCCGUGACCACUGAGAUCACUGGGAGGGCCUGUGGGGUAUCCCAGGCCCCACAGACAUCAUCUGGGAGAGAAGGCUUGUGUGUUUGAAGCACUGUGCCUCUGGCUUGCUGGAGAAGGUGGUGGAUGCUCUGAGUCUGGGGAUACUGAGGCAGAAGCAGCGGACAAGCCCUGCUGUAACCCUUUGUGCCCCCGCUGAUGGAUCCCGGGAGCUGCAGCACGGACCUGGAACAGUCGGUGUCAGGGCAGGCCUGGAUUUUGGGAUCCCACUGCCUUCAUCGCAGCCCCAGAGGAGUUGUGCAGAGGACAUGGCUCUGCUGCAAGAUGAGCUGCAGCGUUUCCCUUCGAGACACGCAGCUCCUCCAGAUCCCUGCCUGCUCUGCCACAUCCGCCGGCAGCUGCCCAGGGACGGGAACGGGAGGGAGAUGCACUCAUCCCGGAUCCAUCCCUUUUAGCAUCGUUCCCACCGCUGAAGGAGGGUGACUGGGAUCACAUCCCACCUGAGCUGGGACACAGGUCUGGGCUCUGCCACUGAUUUGCUGUAGAACUUGGGCAAGUGGCUGCACCCUCUCCCUGUCUCCAUGACCCAGGAGCAGCAGGUAUCCCCCCACAAUCCAGCUUCACUCAGGGCCCAAGGCUUGGCCCUGGAGGAUUCCCAGUCUCCAAGGAGCUGGGGGUUUUCUGGCAGCUCCUAAAUCUCAGCCAGGCUCUGCAACCUGCGGGGCGGCUGCUCCCCAGCCCUGACCCUCCGCCGAGCUCUCCACAGCUGCCGGCACAGCCCGGGACCACAGGGCUCACCGGGAAGCCUGAACAAUGCCGACGAGCUGAGAUCAUUCCUCCCAGCUGAUUAUUUGCUCAAAAAUAUUUCUGAGCUCAGGCCUCCUCGGGGAAAACACUCCCAAACACCCGGCAAAAAGCUGCUGAGUCUGGAGGAACCACACACCCCGCUCGCUCAGCCGAGACACCCCCCCCUCCGAUGACAAGCCCUGGCGUCAGAGGGAUUGAGGCCAAAGUCGGCUGUUUGAUCUCCCCCUCGGCUGGGGGAAGCUGAAUUUCAGGCCCUCGAAGGGCUUUCACCACUUCCCUGUAGCGGUUUCCUGCCAUGAUGGGAGUGCAGGAAUUUUUGAGAGGUGAGUCAGAGGCUGCGAUGAGAACCACCUGGCUGGGGCUGGCCUGGGAGGCUUGAUCCCCAUCCAGGGGU